GCUUGCUUUUUGCUGACGAGUGGCGAACGGGUGCGUAACGCGUAUGCAACCUACCUUCUUCUAAGGAAUAGCCCAGAGAAAUUUGGAUUAAUACCUUAUGAUAAUAUUUAUUCGCAUGUUUAAAUAUUUAAAACUCCGGUGGAAGAAGAUGGGCAUGCGUAACAUUAGUUUGUUGGUGAGGUAAUGGCUCACCAAGACUACGAUGUUUAGGGGGUCUGAGAGGAUGAUCCCCCACACUGGUACUGAGACACGGACCAGACUCCUACGGGAGGCAGCAGUGAGGAAUAUUGGUCAAUGGACGAAAGUCUGAACCAGCCAUGCCGCGUGAAGGAUGACGGCCCUACGGGUUGUAAACUUCUUUUGUAUAGGAAGAAACCCCUCUACGUGUAGAGGGUUGACGGUACUAUUCGAAUAAGCACCGGCUAACUCCGUGCCAGCAGCCGCGGUAAUAUCGGAGGGUGCGAGCGUUAUCCGGAAUUAUUGGGUUUAAAGGGUGCGUAG
rnacentral:rRNA from 1 species